rnacentral:tRNA from 1 species
GGCUCGUUGGGGUAGGGGUAUGAUUCUCGCUUUGGGUGUGAGAGGUCCCGGGUUCAAAUCCCGGACGAGCCC